UGGGGAAUAUUGGACAAUGGGCGCAAGCCUGAUCCAGCAAUGCCGCGUGUGUGAAGAAGGCCUUCGGGUUGUAAAGCACUUUUAUCAGGAGCGAAACGCUGUCGGCUAAUACCCGGCGGAACUGACGGUACCUGAGGAAUAAGCACCGGCUAACUUCGUGCCAGCAGCCGCGGUAAUACGAAGGGUGCAAGCGUUAAUCGGAAUUACUGGGCGUAAAGCGUGCGUAGGCGGUUUCUUAAGUCUGCUGUGAAAUCCCCGGGCUCAACCUGGGAAUGGCAGUGGAUACUGGGAGGCUAGAGUGUGUCAGAGGGUGGUGGAAUUCCCGGUGUAGCGGUGAAAUGCGUAGAGAUCGGGAGGAACAUCAGUGGCGAAGGCGGCCACCUGGGACAACACUGACGCUGAGGCACGAAAGCGUGGGGAGCAAACAGGAUUAGGAUACCCUGGUAGUCCACGCCCUAAAGCGAUGCGAACUGGAUGUUGGUCUCAACUCGGAGAUCAGUGUCGAAGCUAACGCGUUAAGUUCGCCGCCUGGGGAGUACGGUCGCAAGACU
rnacentral:rRNA from 1 species